rnacentral:lncRNA from 1 species
UGCCCAUAAAAUUUUGAAGAGCGCUAAUUCUAUAACUUUUAGCUACCGUUUGGUUCGAGGUUAAGAAAAAAGUAGCUAUUCCAGGGAUAGAGUUAAGUUCAGGGUUAAAGUGGGUUAAAGUUUUUUUAUGUUUGGUUGGGGGUUGGAGUUAGUUUAGAAUAAUGAAAAAUAGUGUUUGGUUGGAGCAGGUGGGAUAAGAAGAUAAUGAUUGAUAAAGAAGGAUAAUGAUUGGUUGGAGUAGGUGUGAUAAGAAAGAUAGUGGGUUAUUAUGAAUAAAAAAUAGUGUUUGGUUGGAGUUUGGUAGGGUUAGGUGGGGUUAGCUAACUCGGGAUAAUUUAUUUGACCUGGGGUUAGUUAACCCCACUCAUUUUUUAAGGUAUUUGGGGAUAAAAUGGGGGUGAAGGGGUGGAAUAA